GCAUGCAGCUUUCCAAUAACUUCCCAUGUUACAGUAAACUACACCGUUGAUUAUCGUUAUUUUAAGUAUAAGCAAGACAUAGGAUCUUAUUGCGAAAGCUUCCAAGAAUGUUCUGCGACGCAUGUGCGUGAGAAAUGGAUCGGUGCUGUUUCAACGAAAGUGCUUUACCUGCACAGAGGGAGGAAAGCUUAGGAGAGGCUCUGACCAGCCAAGCUGUGUUGGAGAAGGCACGUCAGAAGUCGCAUGCUGUUUUUUCACAAAAGGAGCACCGGGAUUGGUGGUCCAAACACCCUUGUUUCCCCAGCAAUCGCACCCGUGGAGCUCUCGCUGCUCUCAGCCUCCAAAAAAGUCACGAAAAAUAACACAGGGGUGUGCCUGCUUCAAUAAAGCUGUUACAGAAGCUUUGCAAGUUGUGUUCAGACGUUCACCAGCAAUGCAUGCUCCCGGCUGACCUCCGUACUGCAAGUUCGAAGCUUGCGCCCAUCCGGUCUGGCGAGCUGAUUGGAGACACAAAGGGAGAUGGAAUACCAAGAUGGCUGCACAUUCCGCUUCGAAAAC